GACGCACCGAGUUGCGCCACACAACCUGAGUAUAGUGCCCACACUCUCCACCAACGCAUGAGUUGGAGUUGUAGUCAUAAUAAGGCUUCUCCCCCACCCACAAGUUCACCGCAUCGGUGCCUGUCAAUGAACCGCUGCCUUUGGCCAGGUUCUCACCGUAAGGCCCACCUGAGUGCACUAGAUUGCAGUCGCUAAUCCUCUGGUUAGCAUAGUUCUGGGCGUAGGCAGCUACAGUGUCGUUCCAUGUUAUAGACCCAACGCCAACUUGGGCCCGCGCUGCAUUGUGAGCAUCGACGUAGUCCUGUGGAGAGUUCUGGGCACAGCAGGUGUGAGCUAGGGCUAACCCCAUGAGACCAACAAGGAGCGCCAUUGAAAUCUUACACAACCCCAUCUUUUAGUUUCUUUGAUGACAAGUGAGGGCUGGGUUGAAGGGUAUUUAUAGGGGAAAUAGAAGCAUCAUAAUCUCCAAGUCUUGCUCCCCCUAACUUCCCCCUUUGAUACAGUCUGUGUGGCGGCCUUCACACGUAAAGAUCAACAACUGAUAAAAUAGUUGGCACUAAGAUCAAAAUGACUUCCAUGCAUGUUCAAUUUUUUCCUAAGAAGCAAUCAACAAUACAUGAAAACGACUUCCAUGCAUGUUCUUUCUUUUAUUCAAAAUAAAACAGCUCUUUGAAAUCACAGUUUUGCAGUUCAAAAAAUCGGUUUUUAUUAAUAUUUAUUUUUAAAAAUUUACCCUAAACGCUUCAAUUAGAAAAUGCGAGCUUUAUAAAAUUCAAAAGACAAAAACACCUUAAAAUCCAUAUUUUUCUAAAUGGGAUUUGAGAGUAGUUGUAAAAAUAUAAAAAAAUUUAAAAUUACAUCAGCCCCUAUUUUUAUACAAAUAAGCAAUUUUAAAGUGCUUUUUUUUUUCUUUUCUUUUGUUUGAAAAUGUCAACUUAAUUAGUCUAUUUUAUAUAUAUAAACCUUUGAUCACGGACGAAUUUACACGUGCUUCUUCAAAUUCUGCAAAUACGUACAAAGUAUCCUAACUUAAACCUCUGAUGAAGGACGAGCUUACAUGUGCUUCUUCAACUUCUGCAAAUACAUACAAAUUAUCCUAACCGGUUUGCUUACUUGACUGAACUAAGUGUUUGGUCUUUUAAUGUUAGAUUUCGAGAUUUCGUGGAAAAGUGGUUAAGACAGAGUUUUGGGACGGUCAUCAAAGUUGAAUAAUUUAUCAUGUGACACAUUAUUUGAGCAAACAAGUUGAUAGCGUAUGUGAUUUUUUAUGCUCGUUGUCAACCUCAAAUCCAAAAUAAAUAUAUGACUUUGAAAUGGUAAAAUAUUCAGUAUGAUUUUCUUCUUUACCCUUAUGCUAGGCUAUUAUCGUGGGUUGAUGGCGCGAGGUACUAGGGUCAUUGUAAUUUCCUGAUGUACUCGCCUCCUCAACUGAAAAUGAUGCUUCCUUCCUUCGCCCUACAAAAGAUGUCUGGACAGGGGGUCCGGACACACUCUCUAAAGCCUUUGUUAGUUUGAUAAUCCAGCAAAUUGAUAUUCUUGGGCCCUUUUCUUUUAGGAAUGCUUAACCUUUUUUUUUUUUCGACUGGGUCGUCGGGGGCCUUUUAUAGUGCUUGGAGCCUCGUCACUUCGAAGGUGUGAAGACUCUUUGACUUUUGCGAUCAUGAUGGUAUUCAGAGGGUGACAGAGCCAUCAUUAUCCUGCAGGCGGCUGACAGAGAUCGUUGGGGGGAUGAUUUGUCAUCACCCUUGUCUUUUCACUCUGUAGGCGGUGUAGGGCAGGUCGUGGCAGGUCGCCUGAAGAGACCCAAGAAGGUCCAUCGAGUAUGCUUUUGGCGAAAUGAGUAAUGAUUGCCCACAAAAUACGGCCAGGAAUUUUGUUUGGGACGCCAGCUAUUAGGUCCGGACUGGACAUCCACAUAGGGGGUGGGGAGGCCACAUGUCAGUCCAUGUGAUCGUCCGGACAGGGGGUGAGACAUGCCAGGUGUCCAAUGGAGGAGUGCCUUGUGAGGCCGUCACGUGUACGCUUAGGCAGUCCCUACAGGUAUCACUAGUGGUUUCGACUAAUGGUAGCAAAAGAAGAACAAAGGUACUUGAUAGGAUGCUUAUUCCAACAAGUUAAUAUAUAUAUAUAUUUUAAUCAAAUGAACGUUAUUAGAAACAUUUUCAAAACUUUAAUUUAUUUAUUUUUUUAUUUUUUAUUUUUAAAUUUACAUUUAAACAAUAUUGGAUUCUCUAUGAAAGGGUUUAAAAGUACAUUUGAAAGUGAUUUUGAUAAGUGUUUUUAGUCUUUCUAAUACUUAAAAAAUAAAAAAUUUCAAGUGUUAGAAAAACUAAAAGCACUUUCUAGAAUCAUUGCUAAAUGCACUCUAAAUACAAUUAAAAGUGUUUUUACAAGAAUUACUCCAAAUCACAUUAAUAAAAUUGUGAUGAUUUUUGGUGAAAAUUUAUAUGAUGUUAGAUGUAAUUCUUUUUUCAUCUAAGGUUCUAGAUAUUAUACUGUUUGAUUGGAUAAGAUAUGACAAAAAGAUAUCAUGAUUUCUAAUGAGAUAUGACUUUGGAUAUUUUAUCAAAUGAAAAUGGUAUCUUAAGACAUUAUAUUAAAUAAGAUUUGUUAUGAUCAUAUUUAAUUUAUAAAAUAAAUAAAUGGAAUGUAUAAUAUAUUGCAUUUUAAUGUUCAAUAUUUUUUCUAAAAUAAAAAUUAUAUUGAUUCCUAAUGUUUGUUUUUAAAUAAAUAUGAGAUUGUUGUAAAAUAAAAAAAUGAGAAGAAAAAAAGAGGAUGGAAUAAAUAUGAAUACUCAGAGAAAAAUAGAAUAUUAUUUCAUUAGCAAGUCUCCUCAUUUUAUAGAGAGUUAGGAAGAGAUUUGUAUCAAUAUGGAUAAUCAUCCAUAAGUUGUCACAAUCAGAAAAAUUCUCAUAUUUUAUAACACUCCUCUGUAGAUGAUCAUAAGAAUAAUAUACCUCCUUAAACCUUCCUAGAAAAAAUCUUAUGAGAAAAACCUUUGUAAAGUAAAAAAAGUACAAAAUUCUUUAGAAUUAUUACGAUUGCCUUAUUAAAAACCUUGCCAAGAAAACCUAGUGAGAUAAAAUCUGGAUGAAGGGAAAAAACAUAUAAUGUAGUGAUAUCCUUAUCAAUUUGUUUCCACUCAUGUUGGUAUGAUUAUAUUUUCUCUUGUAACUCAAUAUCGAGAUCUUUGAGUUGGCGUAUUUCAAUGUUAUAUAUGAGUUUCUUGAGUGUUGCAGUUGACAAUGCGUUUGUGAAUAGGUCUACUAAAUUGUCAUUAGAUCUUACUCAUUGAACAAUCAUUUCACCACUCUUCUAGAGCUUAGAAGUGUAAAUGAAUUUGAGUGUUAUAAACUUAGUUCCAUCACCUUGAAUGCAUCAUUCUUUAAUUUGUGCAAUGCAUGCAAUAUUAAUAUCAUGUAACAUUGUUGAAUUGUCUUUAAUGGAAGAUAGUCCGUAUGAUUCUUGAGUAUAUUGGAUUACAAAUCUCAACCACACACUUCUUGACUUUCUUCAUGGAUUGCACGUAUUUCUAAAUGAUUUGAAUAACAACUAUUAUAAGUUUUAUUGAUCACCAUGAUAUUGCAGUAUUACCAUAGGUAAACAAAUAUCCUAUUUGAGACCUUGCCUUGUAAGGCAAUCACCUUGGGGGAUGGGAGGGAUGAAGAGGAUGAUGGUCACUUUUUGAAAAAAAUUAAACUAUAUGAAAGCAAGUGACAAGUAUAUCCAAUUAAAUAAUAAAUACAAUGAAAAGUAAUUGCAUAUAAAGUAAAAAGAUAAGGAAAAGAGAUUGCAAACUUAAGAGUUUUAUAGUGGUUUGGAGUAACUCGACCUAUGUCCGCUCUCCUUAAUGUCAUGGACUUAGUCUUUUUCUAAGCUCGUGCGGCACUUAGACAAGUCAAGACACUUGAUCUUGCUAAGUCAGCCUUACUCCCAAUGCUUAGCUUUCUAGGCUAAGAUGCCUACGACUCGGAAGCUUUAAAAGGUGUAGUAGGCGAUGCUUAAAGAAUGAAAGCUUUUGUUACUCAAAGGAAGCUUUACAAGUGCUUUGGGAACUCACUUGCUUGGUUGGUUAGGUUCUUGGGUGGUGCCUUGGCCAAAUGAGGGCCUCACCUAUUUACAGGCAUCAGUGAAACUCUCUGGAACCUUGGAGGGUUCCUUACAACUUAAGAAUAAUCUAGAACUUCCUACACAAUUCUAUGUACAAACCUAUGUAUAAGAAUAUACAAGAGAUUCCUAGAAUUCUCUAGAAAGCCUUAGACUCCUCUCAUACCUUCCACCAUAGUGUAGAGAUGUGUGGACAUCUCUAGGCGUCUCUAGAACCUUCCAUACUCUUCUCACCAAUGGCUUAGUGUAGAUGGCUCCAGGAGUCUCCAAAAGCUUUCUGUCCUCUAUAUAACCCCUAUGGGGAGGGUCAUUUGAAACAUCUUAUGACACUCCCCCCCACCUAUGCCGUCGACGUCCUCAUUGUUGCCACUUCUUGAAACUUCUCGAUGAGUUUCCAGAACCUUCUAAAGGAAUCCGCAUGUUCCCAGCUUACCUGCCUCUUAGGUAGUCCUUUCCGUAGGACUAGAUACUCUAUCACAAGAGAGACCCCUUGUCUCCUGGUAACCCAUUGAACCAAGAUAUUUUUCACCUCCUUUUCCCGUGAGACCUCGGAUGGAUGCAGACCCUUUCACUUUUGAUGCUUGGAGUGCUGCUUCCUCUUACCCAUCGAAUUCACCUUUCCCUUGUUGACCUUGUCCAUGUGUGUGUGAGCUACCUCAACUCGCUCUCCUUUUGCCUCAUUUACUUGCACCCCUGAUAGUAAGGAGAUCUUAGGUGUACUAGGCUUUGGGUUGACUUAGAGGGCACCUAGUAGCUGCACCAAGCCCAUAUGUGCUUCGUGUUCCUACUCCCUCUCCUCGAUCAUACCAUUGAACGCCUUCUUCUUUGGAUAAUCCCAUGCCCAAUGUGGACCAUCACAUAGGAAGCAUUUGAUUUUAGGUGUAAACUCUUUCCUUUCCUCCUUACCCCUUCCUUCCUGGACGUUAAGUGUCUUGCUUGAUCCCAUUCUAGGAGCAUUGUGGUCCCUUGAAACCUCAUCUCUCCCACCUAUGGCGUGGCUAUCCUCCAAAGACUCAACCUUGAAGGAGUCUCCCCUCUUGUAAUCCGUUAAAGACUCUGCUAUUGCCAUAGCAAUGGCUAAGUCUUGAACGCCUUGGCGCCUUAAUUCCUACUCAGCCCACCCUUGCAGGUUAUCCAUGAAGUUGAAUAGCAACUCCUCCUUAGUCAUGUUAGGAAUCUUAAGCAUGAGCGAAGAGAAUUCCUUGACAUAGUCGCGUAUUGAGCCUGUGUACUUAAGACACCUCAUGUUUUUCCUAGCUAGGUAAGCCACAUCUUCGGGGUAGAACUGCCUCUUGAAGUUCUCCCACGUCUCUAUGGUACAAAUGCCUUUCUCCAUAUUGGCGAACCUCCGACGCCACCAUAGAGUAAUUAUGUGAGUAAGGUAGAGGGUUGCAGUCCUUACCUUAACUGCCUCAUUAGUCAAUGCGAUAGCCUCAAAGUAUCGCUCCAUAUGCCAUAAGAAGUUGUCCAACUCCUUGGCAUCCCGUUUGCCACUAAACCCUUAUGGCUUCGACACCUCCAUCCUAAAUGCCUCUUGUGUGGCCAUCACUCGUGCCAACAUAGCAGCCUUGUAGAUGGCUAACUCCUACCUAACCUCCUGGUCUGGAGACUCAAUUCGAGUGGCCAAGGCCUCUAUCCUUGACUCCAUGCUAGCAAGCAUGCUCAAGACCUUUUCUUGGAAGGACACAAACUCCUCAUGUGACACUGGCUGAACCUAUGAGACUAGCACCCCCUCACGAAGGUCUUGGAUCUGCUCCCUUAAAUCCUCUAAGCCCUUCUCCAUGCCUUGCUCGAUCAAGUCCAACCUCUCCUGAGUGUCUGCCAUGGCUAGCUCUAUCUUAGCUAACCUUACCUCCAUGUUGCCAACAACAUAACGAGAUUUAUCCUUCUUGCCCCUGCCACGUGCAUCAGGUUCGAUCUCCCUCCCAUGGGUUUGCUCACUAGUCUCAUCCAAGUUGGAGCCUGACAUGCUUCAUUUACUAUGCCCGCUUUGUAGCAGCGCUUUGAUAUCACUUGUCACGGACUUAGUCUUUUCCUAAGCUUGUGCAAUACUUAGACAAGUCAAGACACUUGAUCGUGCUAAGUCAACUCUCAAUUCUUAGCUUUCUAGGCUAAGAUGCUCAUGAAUCGAAAGCUUUACAAGUGCUUUGGGAACUCACUUGUUUGGUUGGUUAGGUUCUUGGGUGGUGCCUUGGCCAAAUGAGGGCCUCACCUAUUUAUAGGCACCAAUGGAACUCUCUAAAACCUUGGAGAGUUCCUUACAACUCAAGAAUAAUCUAGAACCUCCUACACAAUUCUAUGUACAAACCUAUGUACAAGAAUAUACAAGAGAUUCCUAGUAUUCUCUAGAAAGCCUUGGACUCUUCUCAUGCCUUCCACCAUAGUGUAGAGAUAUGUGGACAUCUCUAGGCGUUUCUAGAACCUUCCAUACUCUUCUCAUCAAUGGCUUAGUGUAGAUGGCUCCAGGAGUCUCCAGAAGCUUCAUGCCUUCUAUAUAACCCCUAUGGGAAGGGUCAUUUGAAGCAUUUUGUGACAUUAAGUUCCUAAUUGAAUGAGGGUUCCACUAUUUCAAGACUUUCAACACAAGCCUCCAAGCAUUACAAUUGGAUUAUGGUUCCAAUCAACCUUCUUGGAUUUAUGACUCCAAGUACUUUCUUGUAUUAUGGUUCUAAGCACCCAUAACAAUCCUUAAGAGAUACCUUACUUUUAAUAAUCUCUCAAGUGAUACUCCACACUUGAGAUACCUCACACUUAGAUUUUUUUUCUUCUCAAAGGUUUACAAGAAAUGAUAGGAAAUAUUUUCACAAAAUACUGAUAUAAAAUUUAGGUGUAAAUGAUACAAAAUAAACAAAGAUUAGGUGUAUUCAUGGAUAUGCAAGUUUAAAAACAAAGUGUACUCAAUUUAUAAAUCUUACUCACCAAAUCAAAGAAAGAUGGAGCCUUUAAAUAGAGUUUGGAAGCCCAAACUAGCUGUUAGACAAGUUUAGGGGUUGGCUAGUCGAGUAACCGACUUGAUCGAUUCACUAACUAUUAGCAUUUAAUAUUCUAGAAAAUGAUAAUUGGAGUUUAAGCCCUUAAUUGGUUGGGCAACCGGUUCAACUAAACUAGUUUGGCCUCAAUUGGUUGCACCUUAGCUAUUGGAAAUCAAAGGUGCACAAAAUGCCCCUUGAUCAAUUGGGUCCAAUUGGCUCAAUUGUUGCCUUAAACCCUCGAUUGGUUGCACUAGAAUGCUUAAAACUCAUUUUUGAGAUCUAGAACCUCCAAAACCUUUUGUAGAAAUUUAAAAACCUUUUAAAGAUAUUUUAGAAAUCAUUUGGUUCAAGGUUUUGAUUGAAAAUGUGAAAUCAUCCCAUUAUAAAAGAAUUUAAAACAAUUUAUUACUUGGAUGAUUUCAUUUGGUUCAAGGUUUUGAUUGAAAAUGUGAAAUCAUCCCAUUAUAAAAAAAUUUAAAACAAUUUAUUACUUGGAUGAUUUUUGGUGCUUAAGUAAAAGUGAAAUGAAUGAAAAACCUAGCGCACUCAUAACCUUACAAAGAGAUCUUAGACAAUCUUUCUCUUUGAGAUUUUUUUUUCUUAAUUUCCCUUGUAUAUAAUAUAUCUGUAGACCCUCAAUUUUGUCCCUCGACACUGGCAUUUAUCCUUCAAGUGUCACAUCCACCCAUCGUUCGCAUAUGGCACCACUAGGGCCCCUUUUGGGCUUAGUCGGUGUCCGAGACUCGUGUGGGUUUGUCUGUGGUCCAUUGUGGUGCAUAUGUGGUUCAUUUUGGAGGGUCACCACGGCCAUUUUCCUAGUCGUUCACAUCACGCUAUAGGAAGGAAGUGGGGUCAUCCUGAUGUUUUAGCUUAGUUGGAGUUUAUAGGGGCAUGUUGAGGUUCGAAGCACUCGGGCUUGUUUUGAUCGUAUCUCCCUCAUCCAAACUCGGAAUCAAGAACCGUUUCUUUUUAUGGAUUCCUUAUUCUUCCAGGAACAUUCUGUAAAAUUUUCAAAAUUUUUUGCAACCGUUCGGCUGGUUGGCAACCGGUUCAGCCGGUUCGGCCGGUUCAUCAAGUCAGCCGGUGUAGAACACUGAUUUUUGGUAAUUGUUUUGAUCAUAUCUCCCUCUUCCGAACUUGGAAUCAAGCACCAUUUUUUUUAAUGGAUUCCUCACUCUACUAGGAACAUUCUGUCAAAUUUUCAUAUUUUUUUUCCAUCGGGUCGACCAGUUGGCAUCCGGUUCGGCCGGUUCAGCCGGUUCAUUGAGUCAGCUGAGGUAAAACACUAAUUCUAGUAAUUUUGAGGCCCAAAUCCUACAUGGCCUAGGCCCGUAAGCUCCAGAUCGGUUUUGGGCAAUGUUGUGGGUCCAUUUUGGGCCUUGGUUUGGGUUCCUUGCAGCCCACCACGAAUCCAUAUGGAUUCUUGGUGGUGAAGCAAGCUGAAAACUGAAGGAGUGAGCUGGCCUUGUAAGUUUAAGAGAAGUAAUGAGGGGUGUGGUUCCCAUGCUGAUGAAGGGGAUUUUGGUGCUGAAGGGGAUGAAGGGGAUUUUGGUGCUGAAGGGGAAGGAAUCCAGGAGGCUCAAAUGUUAAGAGGGGAUGAGUAUAAAAGGUGCAAUGAUAGGAGAGCAAAGGAGAUGAGGGGACAUUUUGGAGAGGGGAAAUUUUGCUGGUGAGAAAAACAAAAGGUCAGUAGCAUCUUCUGAGUUGAGAGCGUGGGGGAAAGCUUCAGCACUAUGGUUUUUUAAAGAGGAGAGUGACAGCAUCUCAGUUUUGGAAGUCAUCAUCUGCAUACACAGAUCAUAUUUGGUGGAGAUUCUAAGGUAAGCAUGCUGAAUUUUCUUUACUUACAGUUUAUCUUCCUCGUCUUCAUAUACUUUUUCUCCUUCCUCAUCAUCUUUUCUUCCCUUUGAUAUGAAGAUUGUAUUGCUUGGGUGUGGAUAAUAAAGGUCACACAUGAUUGUUGUUGUUUGCUUCCUUAAUCACUUAGGAACUUUCUGACCGAAUUUGGGAUUUUUUACCAACCGACUGAACCGGUUCAACCGGUUCAGCACCAUAGCUGGCAGCCUCUGUCAGCCAUGAAGAACAUUUGUCUUUCUUUGUCUAGUUCUCACUCAUCCGGGCUCGGAAUUGAGAACCGUUUCUUUUGUUUGCUUCCUUAAUCACUUAGGAACUUUCUGACCGAAUUUGGGAUUUUUUACCAACUGGCUGAACCGGUUUGGAACCAGUUCAACCGGUUUGGAACCGGUUCAACCGGUUCAGCACCAUAGCUGGCAGCCUCUGUCAGCCAUGAGGAACACUUGCCUUUCUUUGUCUGGUUCUCACUCAUCCAGGCUCGGAAUUGAGAACCGUUUCUUUUGUUUGCUUCCUUAAUCACUUAGGAACUUUCUGACCGAAUUUGGGAUUUUUUAACAACCGGCUGAACUGGUUUGGAACCGGUUCAACCGGUUCAGCACCAUAGCUAGCAACCUCUGUCAGCCAUGAGGAACACUUGCCUUUCUUUGUCUGGUUCUCACUCAUCCGGGCUCGGAAUUGAGAACCGUUUCUUUUGUUUGCUUCCUUAAUCACUUAGGAACUUUUUGACUGAAUUUGGGAUUUUUUACCAACUGGCUAAACCGGUUCAGCACCAUAGCUGGCAGCCUCUGUCAGCCAUGAGGAACACUUGCCUUUCUUUGUCUGGUUCUCACUCAUCUGGGCUCGGAAUUGAGAAUCGUUUCUUUUGUUUGCUUCCUUAAUCACUUAGGAACUUUCUGACCGAAUUUGGGAUUUUUUAUCAACCGGAUGAACUGGUUGGGAACCAGUUCAAUAGGUUCAGCACCGUAGCUGGCUGCCUCUGUCAGUCAUGAGGAACACCUGCCUUUCUUUGUCUGGUUCUCACUCAUCCGGGCUCAGGAUUGAGUGUCGUUUCUUUUGUUUGAAUCCUCACUCAUUUAGGAGUUUUCUAGAAAAAUUUGGGAAUUCUUCUCAAUAGGUUGUACCAGUUGAGAACUAGUUCAACCUGUUCUGUUGGAGGACUUUAGGAAGCCCUCGAUUUUGGCAUUUUUCGAGCCCUUAUCCAUGGGGGCUCAAACCCUUUUGCUAUAGGGCACUUGUGAGCCAUCUUGAAGGUUUAAGUCAGUGUUUGAUUUCAGUUAGUAUGGGCAAUUUUGAAGUUAUGGGUGGUGUGGUCUAGAUGAGUCUAGUUUGAUUUGUAUGACAUUUGGGGAGUCCCUUACCUCAUUUCAACCAACUAUCUUCCUUUUUUGGCACAAGCUUUGAUGCUUGAUUUUGAAUGCAUGUUGCAUGACUGACUCACCCUCUGCUGCAGCGCUUGGCUAGGGACCACAGGUACGCAUCGUUGGCUUUGGUUGUCGAAUUCAUAUGCAUGCAUGGUGCUUAAUCUUGAAUGUUUGUUAUGUGUUUAUCUGUGUUUGGCUGACCUUUUAUGCAGCGCUUGGCUAGGGACCACAGGUACGCACCCAUUGUUUUGUUUGGUUGAAUUCAUAUGCAUGCCAAAUACCAAUUAGGAUUGUGUGAUUCAUGACAUCUAUUUAGCCUAGGGUUUCAUUUGACCUUUGACCCAUAUGCUCCCACAUACCCAAUUCAUUAGUAAAAACCGAGUUUCGGGCCUAGAGGGGUGCUACCUCGCAUGAGGUACCUUCCCAACGGGUAACCUGAUCCCCGGACCCAGAAUCUAGUUUUCGUAGACCACUUUUUCCAUACUGGGGUCAUUAGGGGUUUUUGUUCUUACUUAAUUUUCCCCAUUUUAAAAACAAAAAUAAAAAGUAAGUGGCGACUCCAAGCAACACCGUUCCUCACCGGGGGCGGGUUUUUCAAAACUGGAAAACACCAACUUUUUCAUUUCUUUCUUUUCUUUUAAAAGCGAGUCGCGUCGGUCCGGUGGAUCGGGUGAGGGUCCACAAUAUCUUUAAUUGCUACUUUGAAAAUCUUUUGACCUAAACACACUUAACAUAAAACAUUAAUUCCAAACCUUAUUUUGUUAUCAUCAAAAUUGAAAUUAACCAAACUUUGGUUUCACACCUAUUUUAAUUUCCUCAUUUAUUAUCCACUUUUUUUUAAAAAAAAAAUAUUUUAAGAAUAUUAUAAUAUAUAUAUAGAUAUAUAAACUUAGGUUUAUUCAUACAAAUUGAUAUAAAAAUAUCAUUUAAAAUCAAUAAACUUUUUAUAUUUAGAUAAAUAUCUAAAAAUAAAAUUUAACUUAAAAAAGAAAUGAUGUAAAAAGAUUGUAAAUAAUCAAAAAUAAAAAAAAGCAGGGCCUUGUAAAACUAUUUUUAAUUGAAAUUUUUUUAAGCAUUUAACUUCCCAUAAAAUGAAAAAUUUUUAGAUCUAAAUUUCUUAGUUUUAAAAAUAUUUAACAUAAUAUUAUAUCCAGUUACCAGAAAAUGGCUAGAAGGAAAAAUAAAUAAAAUAGAAAAAGUCUAACUAUUUUUUUUAUGUUUAAAUAAUAUGGACAAAAAUAAGAAAAAAAAGGUAAAAUAUUAAAAUAUUUUCCUCCUUAUUUUUCUAAGAAAAGCUGAAAUAAGUACAGAAAAAAAUUAUAAUUUUCUUUAAUUUUGCGUUUUUUUCUUCAAACUUUCCACAACCAGCCACAUGGUCUAAGUGAAAGCAUAAAUUAUAAAAAUUUUAUCUGUCUACGCAGUUUAAAAGCUUUGCCAAAUUGGGUCUUGGUAGACUUUAAAAAUACAAAAUAAAUUGAUCAGAUGGUUACAUAUAUAUAUAAGUCUUGAUAGCGCCCUGAUAAUGAGGCUACAACUUAGGAAUUACGUGUCCAAUUGCCAUGCUUGGAAAAAUCAAAAUGAUGGCUUUGUUGGAUGAAUCUAGAUGAAGUUUGGCCUACAUAUAAGGAAGAAUAACAUCAUGGUCGCUGGUGGUAGGCAUCAAUUCCGGGACAACCAUGAGCUUGUGCUGGAAAAUUCAGUAGACCCUCCAUUAGUGUAAUCUCUUAAUUGCCUUAACUUCUCUCCAUUUAAAGGCAAAGACUGGACUCAGUGGUAUGGCAUUGGGAUAGACCCAGAGUUCAGCUCAGUCCUAGGGCCCAAUUAAAGUUCUAGAUUGGGUUGAGUCUUAUAUAAAAGUGACAAUCUCUAUUUGUUAAUCUUUGUGUCAACUUAAUUUAUACUAUUAUUACUCAUGUAACCUAAUUCAUAUUUUAAAUCUAAUCUAUAUCACAAUUUAUUCUAAUAUUUUUGGAUGAUGCACAUCAAUUUGAAAAUUUUUGGUGUGUAUCAUAGCUCUUAAUAGCUCAAAUUUAUGUUACAUCCCUAUUCAAGACUUUCUCACAAUUUUCAAGUUUUGUAGUGCUUUUAUUAAAAGUGUGAUGAGCUUAGUGAGCGCAAGUAGGGGUUAUAAGGGUCAUUUUGAGCAUUUUUAGUAACUUCUAUGAAUUUUGGAAGGACAGGGGAGCCCAAAAGCAAGAGUAAAUUAGCAAGCUAAGCAAAACACAAUUAGCAUCUCCACAAGCUCGAUUCCAACUAGUUUUGAGUUUGGAGUUAUUUGAAAGGGUUAUAUGCAUCUUAAUAGAGUGGUAAAUUUUAUCAAGUUCUAGACUCUAAUAGGGAAGAAAAGGGGAGUUAGAGAUUUUAUUUUUAAAACAAAGAAAAUACCAUUGCAAGAUAGUAGCAUAAACUUCAACUUAAAUAUAAAAAACAGAACAAAAAAUAGCUAAUCUAAUAUUUGCUUUUUAAUUACAUCAAUUUACUAACUUUCCUAUAAGUGAGCCAACUUUAUUAUUAUUAGAUCAUCUAGUGAAAUAUCUCUCUUUUAUUUUGAUAACUUAGUUUUAGAUCAAGUUUUGAUAAUCUCAUCUAAAAAUUAAUUGGUAUCUUGAGGUUGGACUAAGUCUUUUAUAACAUUCAACCACCAUCAUCUGGGUGACCCAUCCAUUGAGCUUAAAGAGUGAAGUUGUUACACCCCAACAAUCUCUCCACUAACAUGAUGCUUCCCCGGCUUUAACUCAAGACAUUGACUUUGAUACCAAUUCGUGGAUCAAACUUUGAUCAUCUUAUUUGAAGACCAAUUGAUUUUUAGAUGAGAUGAUUAAAACUUAAUUCAAGACUUAGAAAGGUAUUUAUCAGUUCCUUCCCCUUAAAAAAACCUUGUCCUCAAGGUUGGAAGUAAGGAAAAUGACUAAUAAGCUUAUGCCAAUCUCCCUAGCUAGCAUCUUUUAGGGAAGAAUUAAAAUAAUGAACAAGAAUUGGAUCUUUGAAUUGUUCCCAUGUUUGAUAGCAUGUUGAUCAAGAAUUCUGAUUAGUUCAAACAACAUCUGUCCUUUAUCAUUAAUGGCUGGUAGCUCAAGUUUUGCAGUGUUUUUUCUAGCCAAUGGAUCUUUUUCUUUAAACCAGAUAGUGAAUUUUUGAAUGGGAAAGCAAUUCCAAAUAAUAAGCAACUACUCCUAUAUGGAAAUUCACCCUAAAAGGCCUAUAAAACCUUAGAGACAGCUAAUUGAUGCAUGGAAAGGCCACAUAGGCUUAUUAGUCUGGUUAUAGGUACAAUUACACCAUACCUCUCACAUCAAAAGACCUUUCUAUAUGAUGUUGAUUAGCUUGCUGAUUCAUAUGGCGUUGAGCCUUCUCCAAAUUUUCUUUCAAUAGUAGUAAGAUGGCAUGCAUUUCGAUCCGUAAGCGCUUGGCCUAUUGAUACUGCCUUGGUGUCACCUCGUGCAUACAUGGGCAGAGAUGACGAACUCUGACCAUAAUCCAUUUUAUGUAGAAUGAGCCUGAUGGCAGUGUGGAAGGAAGUAUUGAACCACCAUUCAACAAAUGGUAACUAAGGAGACCACUUUUUAGGAUGAUUGCCCAUGACACAAUAAAGAGAAUUUUUCAAACAAUGAUAAAGGCUCUUUUUAGGAAUUGUUUUUUAAAACACUUUUUGGUUCUUCAGAAAAAAAAAAAAAAAAAUUGAAAACAAUAUUUGACAACUGGAAAAUAGAAUUUUUUUUUUGGGACUAUUUUAACUUGUUUUAAAAAAUAAUUAUAUAAUAAAUACAUAAAAUUUAUUUUUAAAACAUAUUUAAAAAAAAUAGAAAACAUAUAUGUUAAGAAUAUUUCAUAUUCCAAAUUGACUUUUGUUAUACAACUUAAUGAAUUAAUAUGAUUUAAUGAUUUAAUUUAAGCCAUUGAGUAAAUUAAAUAUCUUUGGUAAAAUAAUUUAAUAUUACAAUUUAAAAUUACUUUUAACAUUAAAUAUUAAAUCAAAAAAAUUAACUCAUUUUUAAUUUUAAAUCUUUUUUGUUUUAUUUAACCCUAAAGUAUAUUUUAACAUUAUGAUUUUACAUCUAUGAUUCUUUUUUAAAAUAAAUAUUUUAUGGUUAUCAUACCCAUCUACAAUAUUUUAAAUAUGAAUAUUGUCUAAAUAAAAAUUACUUAAAAUUAUUGAAAAUAAAUAUGAGUUGAAAUCAAGGAAGAUAAAUAUUCAUUAAAAUUAAUAAGGGUAAAUAUGUUAAUUUGAUAAUUUAAAAUAAACUUUAAGUUAACUUUAUCAAAUACCUUAAGUAAAAUAAGUAAUAAAUUUUAAGUCAAUCACUUAAAAAUAAUUUAAUUUAAAGUUAACUUAAGUAAUUAAGUAAUAAAUAUCAAAUUUUAUCAAACACUUGAAACUCUAUAUCUUAUGAAAAAUUGUUUUUUUAGAACUACUUUUAAAAACGCUUUCUAAACAAAGCAUAAUCCUUAGUUUUUCCAUGAGAUUGUAGAUGAUAUGAUGAACUCAUAUAAAGUUGAGUGCUGCUCAAAGAGAGCUUGCCAGAAUAUGCUAGUAUAUAUGGGAUCUCUGUUGCUAACAAUGGUAGUGGGCAUGUCCAACAAGUGAACAACAUGUUGGAUAAAAAUCUUAGUAACUUCCUUGGCUGAAUAUCGAUGUCUUAAAGCAAUAAAGUAAUGGUAUUUUCUUAAUAUAUCCUUCAUGAGGAAAAUGGCAUCUUUCCCAUGUGAGCGAGGAAGUCAUCCAUUGAUAAAAUUCAUGGUUGUCAUGUAAUAUUGCAGCCUAGAGAGAAAAAUGUACAACUCAAGACCAGGGAACCCUUGUACUGUAGUUGAUUUUGCAAUAUCGCCAAGAAUACCCCCAUUUGGCAUUUGGCAUUUGGGUCAACAAUAUUAAGUCUUUGUAUUAGUUAUUGUAGUUAAGGGUCUUGCUGCUAUUUUUCCUUGGAAGUAUAUCAAGCCAAUUAAUAGUAGACAAGGAUAGGGUCAUGACUUUCAAUAUUGAACAUACUCUAUAACGGACAAAGCCAGAGAGAAAUAAGAGAAUUGUAUGAGGGUUUAAAUGUUUAUUAAAGAUAUUUGGUGGUAGAAAUUAUCCUUUUAUUCUCACAAUCACUUGAAGUUGGAGCAUGUGACACGGCAUGGAUCGAUGUGUUAGGCAUGGCCCCCACGUGCCUUCGAUGGGAGAUAUCCCUUCCAUACCUUCUCAGGUUAUAAAUGAGGAAAAAUGUCUCUUCCCAUAUGCUUUUCUGUAUCUCAAAUAUAUCAAUUCUAGAAGGAUUGAAACUCAACCAAGCCUUUCAAAUAGGUGAUCAUCCAAUGAACCAGAUUUAAGGCCAUUAGUCCACCCAGUACUUGUUCCUGCAAUGAUAUCCCACAAUGAUGUCUUCAAAGUUGGCCAUAUCCCACUACUUGAUCUAGACUCUCAGAUUUAUUGUGCUGUGAUAUUAGAUCAUAGGGGAGCUAGCUAAUCAAAUUUGAAUCCUUUUCCAUAUCCUAAUUUUUUUGUCAAUUCCUUUGUAUUGACUUUUAAUUAAUAGGGUUAAUUUAUAGUCCCGAUUUCCUUGAACAAUGAAUGUUAAUGAAAAUUAUUACCUACAUAUACAACAAAUAAUCAUAUUUCUUAUAAUACUACUAUGUCCCUUUUUUCAUAAGAUCAGCAGGAUAACCCUGGAAAUUAAGACAAAGAAAACAAGGAGCCGACAUGCUUUGAAGUACUACUAUGAAUUUAUUAUACUUGGAAAUUAAGCAUCUCUCUUGAGUAUUUUUGAGUACAGAAGGAGAAUAAAACAAGAUCUUACUGAAAAACUACCUCAAUUAUAUCUUCCUUGGUCAGCUAAAAGCACAAAGUUGAUCUUAUUUGCACUGACCCAUGGUAUAUAUGCUGAUCAGCUUAUUACAUAUAUGUAGUACUUGCUUAGAGGUCGUUUCAUAAUGUUUAAUAAGGCCGUUGUCCCACAUAGUUGCCCGGUGGAUCGUAGUUGCAUGUGACGAACCACCACCCAUUGUUGCACUGAACCCUGGCGCACCCAAGGCGAACUGAGUUGCUCCAAACAACCUGAGUAUAGUGCAGGCACUCCCCACCAACGCAUGAGUUGGAGUUGUAGUCAUAAUUAGGCUUCUCCCCCACCCACAAGUUCACCGCAUCGGUGCCUGUCAAUGAACCACUGCCCUUGGCCAGGUUCUCACCAUAAGGCCCACCUGAGUGCACUAGAUUGCAGUCGCUAAUCCUCUUGUUAGCAUAGUUCUGGGCGUAGGCAGCUACAGUGUCGUUCCAUGUCAUAGACCCAACGCCAACUUGUGCCCGUGCUGCAUUGUGAGCAUUGACGUAGUCCUGUGGAGAGUUCUGGGCACAACAGACGUGAGCUAGGGCUAAUCCCAUGAGACCAACAAGAAGUGGCAAUGAAAUCUUACACAACCCCAUCCUUUUUAGUUUCUUUGAUGAGAAGUGAGGUUAUUGAUGAGAAAUGAGGCUUGGUUUGAAGGGUAUUUAUAGGGGAGACAGAAGCAUCAUAAUCUCUAAGUCAUGCCCUCCCAAACUUCCCCCUUGGACACAGUCUUUGUGGUCGCCUUCACACGUAAAGAUCAACGACUGAAAAAAUAGUUAGCACUAAGAUCAAAAUGACUUCCAUGCAUGUUCAAUUUUUUCUUAAGGAGUAAUCAACAAUAUUGAAAAUUCUUUGUGUUUUGGAUAUCUUCUAGGGUUUACCCCUGGCGGCCAGACCAGUUUGAUCAAGACUCGUGAACUUCCUUCUAAAAGAACAUGUAUAAAGAAUUAAAAGGGAAAAACAAGUGUUGAUGUUAAAUCAAAAUUAUUUUAACAAUCUUAGAUGCUGAAAUUCUUGACAUUGAUCAGCUAGUAUUUUUUUUUUUUUGAUUCAAAAUAAAACAGCACAAUGGAAUCACAUUUUUUCAGUUCAAAAAAUGGGUAUUUAAAUAUAAUUUAAAAUCAAUAAACUUUUUAUAUCCAGAUAAAUAUCUAAAAAUAAAAAUUUAACUUAAAAAGUAAAUGAUGUUAAAAAGAUUGUAAAUAGAUACAAAUAAAAACUAGUAGGGCCUUGUAAAACUAUUUUUAAUUGAAUUUCUUUUAAGCAUUUUAACUUCCCAUAAUAUGAAAAACUUCUAGAUCCAAAUUUCUCAGUAUUAAAAAUAUUUAACAUGUGAUAUUAUAUUUGGUUCCUAGGAAAUGCAAGAAGGAAAAAAACAAAAAGUCUAAUUAUUUUUUUAUUUUUAAAUAAUGUGGACAAAAAUAAGCAAAAUACAAAAUAAGUUGAUCAAAUGGUUAUAGAUAUAGAAGUCUUGAGAGCGCCCUGAUAAUGAGGCUACAACUUAGGAAUUACGUUUCCAAUUGCCAUGCUUGGAAAAGUCAAAUGAUGGCUUUGUUGGAUGAAUCUAGAUGAAGUUUGGCCUACAUAUAAGGAAGAAUGACAUCAUGGUCACUGGUUGUAGGCGUCAAUUCCGGGACAGCCAUGAGCUUGUGAUGGAAAAUUCACCAGACCCUCCGUUAGUGUAAUCUCUUAACUACCUCAACUUACUCAACCGCUCUCCAUAUAAAGGCAAAGACUGGAGUCAGUAGUAAGGGAUUGGGGUAGACCCAGAGUUCAGCUCAGUCUAGGGCCCAUUUAAAGUUCUGGAUUGGGUUGAGUCUUACAUAAAAGCGGAUAAGCUCUAUUUGUUAAUCUGUGUCAACUUAAUUUAUACUAUUGUUACUCAUUUAACCUAAUUCAUAUCUUAAAUCUAAUCUAAAUUACAAUUUAUUCUAAUAUUUUUGGAUGAUGCACAUCAAAAAAUGUUUCAUACUGUAUAUAUUUUCUAUCAUUUGAAAAUUUUUGGAGUGUAUCAUAGCCCCUAAUAGCUCAAAUUUAUGUUACAUUCCUAUUCAAGACUUUCUCACAAUUUUCAUGUCUGUAGUGUUUAUUAAAAGUAUGAUGAGCUUUGUGAGCACAAGUACAGGUUAUAAGGGUCAUUUUGAGCAAUUUUAGUAACCUCUAUGGGUUUUGGAAGGAGAGGGGAGGCCAAAAGUAAGAGUAAAUAUGCAAGAUAAGUAAAACUCAAUUAGCAUCUCCACAAGCUCGAUUCUAACUAGUUUUGAGUUUGGAGUUGUUUGAAAGGGUUAUAUGCAUCCAAAUAGAGUAAGGUAAAUUUUAUCAAGUUCUAGACUCUAAUAGGGAAGAAAAGGGGGGUUAGGAGAUUUUAUUUUUGAAACAAAGAAAAUACCAUUGCAAGAUAACAACAUAAAGUUCCACUUAAAUAUGAAAAAGGGAAUAAAAAAUAGCUAAUCUACUAUUGCUUUGUAAUUACAUCAAUUUGCUGACACUUCCUAUAAGUGAGCCAACUAUAUUAUUAUUGGAUCAUCUCCUGAAAUUUCUCUCUUUUAUUUUGAUAACUAAGUCUUAGAUCAAGUUUUGACCAUCUCAUUUAAAAAUUAAUUGGUUCUAAGUUUUUUAUGACAUCAUUGUUAUUUGGGUAACCCAUUCAUUAGAAAGUGAUAUGAUUAGACCCCAAAAAUCCCUCCACCAAUAGAAGGCUUUCAUGGCUCUAAUCCAUGACAUUGACUUUGAUAUCAAUUUUAGAUUGAACUUUGAUCAUUUCAUCUUAAAACCAAUUGAUUUUUAGAUGAGAUAAUCAAAACUCGAUUUAAAACUUAGGAAAUUACUUAACCGUUCAUUCUUCUUGAAAAAGCCUUAUUCUCAAGGUUUGAAGUGAGUAAAACAACUAAUAAGCCUAUGCUAAUCUUCCUAUCUAGCAACUUUUGGGAAAUAAUUAAAAUAAUGACAAAAUGCCACAGCCUUAUUAUUAGGGCUACAAGUGCCGUUACCCCAUAUCUGCCACAUCAAAAGACCUUUCCAUAUGAUGUUGAUUAGCUUGCCUACUUAUAUGGUGUUGAGUCUUCUCUAAAUUUUCUUUCAAUAGAAGUAAGAUGGCAUGCAUUUCAAUCAUCAAGCGCUUGCCCUAUUGAUAUCACCUUGGUGUCACCUCCCCCAUACAUAGGCAAAGAAGAUGAACUCUGACGAUAAUCUAUUUUAUAUAGAAUGAGCUCGAUGGCAGUGUGGAAGGAAGUUUUGAAGUUUUUAGGAUGAUUGCCCAUUACACAAUAAAGAGAAUUUUUUAAACAAUGAUUAAGGCUGUAUUUGGAAAUUGUUUUUUAAAACACUUUUUAGGUAUUCAAAAUAAAAAAAAAUAGAAAAACAUAUUUUACAAUGGGAAAGUAGAAAAUAUUUUUUAAUUAUUUUUACAUAUUUUUUAAUGAUUAUUUUAAAAAUAACAUGAAAAGUGAGUUUUAACUUACUAAUUUAAAACCCCAAAUUUUAUAAAUUAUAUUUAGUUUUUAUUCAUUUAAAAAUAUUUUAAAAUACAUACAUUUUUCCAUUUGUCAAAUAAUUAGUUUCUAAAAUGACCCUUUUAUUUAUUAGGUUAAUAAUACCAAUUGAUGAAUUUUUUUUUUUACAAGAAUUGUUCUGACCUCAAUAAAAUAAAAAAUUUUAAAAUUUAAAAUUAAAACUAAAAAAACUUUAAAACUAAAGACAUAAAAUAAAAUAUUAACUUUCAUUUUGAAUUGUGACAAGUAUGCUUGAUACGAGAUAAGUCUUGUGGACAACAGAAUGACCUCCAAUGGGGCUAUCAUGGUUGUCAUGUAAUAUUUCAGCCUUGUACUGUAGUUGAUUAUGCAUUAGCCAAUAUACCCCCUUUUGGCAUUUGGGUCAACAAUAUUAAGUUUUUGUAUUAGUCGUUGUUGUUAAGGGUCUUGCUGCCAUUUUUCCUUGGAGGUAUCGAGCCAAUUAAUAAUAGACAAGGAUAGGGUCUUGACUUUCUAUAAUAAACAUAUUCUAUGACGGACAAAGAGAGAGAGAAAUAAGAGAAUUGUAUGGGUGACUUUCUAUUAUAAAUCUUUAUUAAAGAUAUUUGGUGGUAGAAGAAAGUUUUAAGUAAUUUUUUUAAUAAUUAGUCUUUUAUUCUCACGAUCACCUGAAGUUGGAGAAUGUGACACGGCAUGAAUCAAUGUGUUAGGCAUGACUUCCACGUGCCUUGGAUGGGAGAUAUCCCUUCCAUAAGGAAAAAUAUCUCUUCCCAUAUGCAUUUUGGUGUCUCAAGUACAUCGAGUCUAGGAGGAUUGAGGGAAACUCAACCAAGCCUUUCAUUUGGGUGACCAUCCACUGAACCAGAUUUAGGCGCAUUAGUCCACCCACUACUUGUUCCUGCAAUGAUAUCCCCCAAUGACGUGUCAAAGUUGGCCAUGUCCCACUACUUGAUCUAGACGCUCAGCUUUGUUGUGCUGUGAUAUUAGAUCAUAGAGGAACUAGCUAAUCAAAUUUGAAUCCUUUUCCAUAUAUAUAUAUAUAUAUAUAUAUCCUAAAUUCUUUGUCAGUUCCUUGUAUUAACUUUAAUUAAUAGGGUUUAUAGUCCCAAUUUCCUUGAAAUUUCUUAUAAUACUACUGUGUCCUUUUUUCAUAAGAUCAGCAGGAUAACCCUGGAAAUUAAGACAAAGAAAAAAGAGAAGCCAACAUGCUUUGAAGUAUAACUAUGAAUUUAUUGUACUUGGAAAUUAAGCAUCUCUCUUGAGUACAGGAGGAGAAUAAAGCAAGAUCUUACUGAAAAGCCACCUUAAUUAUGUCUUCCUUAGUCAACUAAACGCACAAAGUUUUAUUUGUACUGACCUAUGGUAUAUAUCCUGAUCAGUAUAUUACAUAAAUGUAGUACUUUGCUUAGAGGUAGUUCCAAGAAGUUUAAUAAGGAUGUUGUCCCUGAUAGUUGCCCGGUGGAUCGUAGUUGCAUGUGACGAACCACCCUCCACUGUUGCAUUGAACCCUAGCGCACCCAAGACGCACUGAGUUGCUCCAAACAACCUGAGUAUAGUGUCGGCAUUCCCCACCCACGCAUGAGUUGGAGUUGUAGUCAUAAUAAGGCUUCUCGGCCACCCACAUGUUCACUGCAUCGGUGCCUGUCAAUGAAGGGCUGCCCCAGGCAAGGUUCUCACCGUAAGGCCCACCUGAAUGCACUAGAUUGCAGUCGCCAAUCCUCUGGUUAGCAUAGUUCUGGGCGUAGGUAGCCACAGUGUCGUCCCAUGUCAUAGACCCAACACCAACUUGUGCCCGCGCUGUAUUGUGAGCAUUGACGUAGUCCUGUGGAGAGUUCUGGGCAUAGCAGGUGUGAGCUAGAGCUAACCCCAUGAGACCAACAAGGAGUGGCAAUGAAAUCUUACACAACCCCAUCUUUUUUAGUUUCUAUGAUGAGAAGUGAGGUUAUUGAUGAGAAAUGAGGCUUGGUUUGAAGGGUAUUUAUAGGGGAGAUAUAUAGAAGCAUCAUAAUCUCUAAGUCAUGCCCUCCCAAACUUACCCCU
rnacentral:lncRNA from 1 species